GGGAGGCAGCAGUGGGGAAUAUUGGACAAUGGGCGGAAGCCUGAUCCAGCAACGCCGCGUGAGGGAUGACGGCCUUCGGGUUGUAAACCUCUUUCAGUACCGACGAAGCGCCGAUGAUGGUGGUGACGGUAGGUACAGAAGAAGCACCGGCCAACUACGUGCCAGCAGCCGCGGUAAUACGUAGGGUGCGAGCGUUGUCCGGAAUUAUUGGGCGUAAAGGGCUCGUAGGCGGUUUGUCGCGUCGGGAGUGAAAACCCAGGGCUUAACUCUGGGCUGGCUUUCGAUACGGGCAGACUAGAGGUAUGCAGGGGAGAACGGAAUUCCUGGUGUAGCGGUGAAAUGCGCAGAUAUCAGGAGGAACACCGGUGGCGAAGGCGGUUCUCUGGGCAUUACCUGACGCUGAGGAGCGAAAGUGUGGGGAGCGAACAGGAUUAGAUACCCUGGGUAGUCCACACCGUAAACGUUGGGCGCUAGGUGUGGGGCCUAUUCCAUGGGUUCCGUGCCGCAGCUAACGCAUUAAGC
rnacentral:rRNA from 1 species